rnacentral:rRNA from 1 species
GGAUUGCCUCAGUAUCGGCGAGUGAAGCGGCAACAGCUCAAAUUUGAAAUCUGGCACAUUUUGUGUCCGAGUUGUAAUUUGGAGAGGAAACUUACGGUGAAGCCUUAAUAUUUAAGUUCCCUGGAACGGGAUGUCAUGGAGGGUGAGAAUCCUGUAUGUAAUAUUGGGCAGAUCCACAUGUUUAGUUCCUUCAAUGAGUCGAGUUGUUUGGGAAUGCAGCUCUAAACGGGAGGUAAAUUCCUUCUAAAGCUAAAUAUUGGCCAGAGACCGAUAGCGGACAAGUAGAGUGAUCGAAAGAUGAAAAGUACUUUGAAAAGAGGGUUAAACAGUACGUGAAAUUGUUGAAAGGGAAGCAUUUGCAACCAGAUUCAUUGCAAGUUAGCUCAACCCGACUAUAUCUAGUCUGGUGUAUUCUACUUGUACUAUGAGGUCAGCAUCGGUUAGGAGGGUAAGAUAAAUAUAGUGUGUUAGUAGAGUCAGGUCUCCUGACUUUUACUUCGUAUUAUAUCACAUAUUAUCACUC